rnacentral:rRNA from 1 species
AAUCUUUUAAAGGUCGAACAGACCUAAAAUUCUAUCUUCUGCCCCAGAAUUCUAGAUUAAUUCAACAUCGAGGUCACAAUCAAAUUUAUAUAUAUGAACUUUACAAAUUUAUUAUG